GAAAUACCUGUUUUAAAUAAAAAUUAAUAAAUAAUAAAAAUAUAUAGAAAAGUCACACAUAAUUCAAUAAACAAAAUUAAACAAAACAAAAAAGAUAUAUAAAUAAAAUAUAUUUCAUAUUACCAUUACUGCUCCAACCGGCCACAACUCCCGUAUCUCCUGUUAAAGCACUACUAUUUGUUUGUGAUAUCAAUUUCAAUUAUCUUUAAAAUGCCGGAUGUUGAAGGACCAGAAGAAUCAUUGAAACAAACUAGGAAUUCUUUAUCAUCGGUUGUGAAUAAUUUAAGUAAUGCUACAAGUAGAGUUAGAGAAAAUUGUUCUUGUGUAUUUCGUAUGACCGAUGCCAAAUGGGAACUGUGUCGUAGUUUAAUGAUAUUUAGUUUGGGAGUGGUGCUAACCUUGCAAUUACGUAACGUUGUACAUGAAUUCUUGUAAAUAUUAUUUACAACAAGUUAAAAAAAAUCUCGAAAUAACCGCAAUUCUAUAUUUAAAUUCGAAUCGAAACUUUCUCCAUUUAGAAACGUUGAUAUUUUUUAAUUUGAAUAAAUGUUCCAUCUCUAAAAAAAACGUAAAUGUUAUCGAAAUGCAGAAUAGAGUUCUUAAUUAAGGCAUUUUCCAAAAUUUUUUUUGAUGUAGAAAUCGUAACACAUUUACAAAUAAAUUUUAUUAUAAACUGAUAACUUGGCGUGAUUUAAAGUCAGUCCUCAGUUCUCCAUUAAGCACCGCAACGUUUCACGUUUUAAAUGAUAAUGAUUUUAUUAAUAACAAAGUUUUUGAAA